rnacentral:rRNA from 1 species
CGAACGCUGGCGGCGUGCCUAAUACAUGCAAGUCGAGCGGGGGUCUUCGGACCCCAGCGGCGGACGGGUGAGUAACACGUAGGCAACCUGCCCGCGAGACCGGGAUAACAUAGGGAAACUUAUGCUAAUACCGGAUAGGGUACCGGAUCGCAUGAUCCGGCACGGAAAGGUGGCGCAAGCUACCACUUGCGGAUGGGCCUGCGGCGCAUUAGCUAGUUGGUGGGGUAACGGCCUACCAAGGCGACGAUGCGUAGCCGACCUGAGAGGGUGACCGGCCACACUGGGACUGAGACACGGCCCAGACUCCUACGGGAGGCAGCAGUAGGGAAUUUUCCACAAUGGACGAAAGUCUGAUGGAGCAACGCCGCGUGAACGAAGAAGGUCUUCGGAUUGUAAAGUUCUGUUGUCAGGGACGAACAAGUACCGUUCGAACAGGGCGGUACCCUGACGGUACCUGACGAGAAAGCCACGGCUAACUAC